ACGACAAUAAAAUAUUCGGGGAAGCACUUGUCACACGUUAAACCAUCUAAGUACAGAGGCGUUGGGUGCUUCCGUUGGCUCUAAAUUCAAAUUAACAACUGCCUGUUUAACCUACGCGUUCGUCGUGAAACUUUGAUCAGAUUGUUGUGAGAUCAGCAAUAUUAAUGAAAAUGAUAUCAUCAUAUAAACACAACACAUAUUACCCAACGAAAUAGGAGAAGGAAAACUCGUGACUCUGAAUGCAAAGCUCGUCAUUUUGCUCAGUGAAAGUUGCCGAUAUUGAUGCGAGAAAAAACGUGUUGAAUAAGGCAAUCACAGUUCGAAAAAACUUGUUGAAUUUUUGGUUAAAAUGCGGAAGUGGUAACAAGGAAUUUGAUGGACGAAAUAUAAGUCGUUUUAUCCCACUUAAGGAAAUAUAAAGACAGAAGCACCGCAGGUGUGAAGACAGGACACAAAGAGCUCGGAUACAUAAACUCAAUUGACAAAAAGAUUUAAAGGAAAUUGAGGAGUUUGUAAGAUCAUUUGGUGGAGUAUUCUGCAAGUAUUUCAAGAAAAGUUGCUGGUCAUUUGGUCGUCGAACGAAAGGAGAAAAAUGACGAUAUUGAAAGAACAACCAGGAAAAGAAUGUAUAGAAAAAGACACAAAAGAGGUGAGAUUUAGCGACGACAUCGAAGUAUAUUACGUUCCGACGCGUACAAGAUGGCAAAGGACGAAAACAAACAUUCUCUAUACGCCACAAUCGAUAAAAAGAAAAGCGAUUUCGAUCAAAGAGUCUCUAUCGGAAUCUUAUCACGUAAUUGUUGAUCUACUGACGUAAAAUGAGAAAUUAGAAGUGAAGGGAGUUGUUUCUUAAACAGACAAAAAUGUAACUGCUGACGUCAUUAGAAAAAUUAUCAAAUAAUCUGCCAAUAUGGACACUGGCGACACGAAUACACAUGGAUACACUUGGAUAAAUGAAUACACGUGGCUACAUUCACUACAUGAAUACACAUGGGUACGCAUGGAUACAUUGACUAUAUGAAUACACAUGGGUACGCAUGGAUACAUUGACUAUAUGAAUACACAUGGGUACGCAUGGAUAUAUUGACUAUAUGAAUACACUUGGGUACGCAUGGAUAUAUUGACUAUAUGAAUACACAUGGGUACGCAUGGAUACAUUGACUAUAUGAAUACACUUGGAUACACAUGGAUACAUUGACUAUAUGAAUACACAUGGGUACGCAUGGAUACAUUGACUAUAUGAAUACACAUGGGUACGCAUGGAUACAUUGACUAUAUGAAUACACAUAGAUACAUUGACUAUAUGAAUACACUUGGAUACACAUAGAUACAUUGACUAUAUGAAUACACAUGGAUACAUUGACUAUAUGAAUACGCAUGGAUACAAAAGUUAUAUGAAUAAAAAAAUCGCUAAAACAAGCUGAUCCUAAACCUCCUGUAGUCAAGCAGUAUUCAUUUGUGUGUGUAGCAAUAUAGCCACAUAUGAAGUAUCGACUUGAUACUUGUGACGGUAAUCGUGGAACGGUGUUCCAAAAUUGAACGGAUUAAAAUCCCUUGUACAAAAAAAGAGUUUUACGAAUAACGUUCAUGUAUAUACACAUAACUCAAAACUAAGAAUUGUAUAAAAGAAAAAAUCAAAUUUUACAUUAACUAGAAUAACUAUUUUAUAACGUAUUGUGAAUUUGAUGAAUAUUUACCAAAAUUGGAAAAA